CUAUGACAAAAUCAACAAAAUCUGUAACUGUAAUUGAAACCCUUGUAUAAAUAUAAAAAUAGAAAUAAAAAUUUCAUCCAAAAUAACAUAAUUAAAAUGAUAUAAAGAGACAUAAAAGCCCUCAUCAAGAAAAUCGCCACAUAUGAAGAAGAUGGACAGUAUAACACAGUGGAAUCAGAUUUUUUUUCCCCUUUCCCAAAACUGAGUUCCUGCAGGUGUACAAAAAAGGAGAGGCAGGAAAAAAGAAGAGUGGUGGUGGGAGGGAGUUCCUUGCAUCAAUACAUCUGUUAAUUUGCAUCACUACAAAACAUCCCUACUCCAAAGAAUAAAUUUUGAGAAGAACAUUUAAAUACAUGGUUGAUGAGAAUAUUAAUAAAUAAAACCCUAAAUUCUCUGCAGAUAUCACAGAACUUGAAGCACUUCGAUGUUAAGAUUGAAGGAUAAUUACAUAGA
rnacentral:misc_RNA from 1 species